rnacentral:rRNA from 1 species
ACAUCCAGAGAACUUAGCAGAGAUGCUUUGGUGCCUUCGGGAACUCUGAGACAGGUGCUGCAUGGCUGUCGUCAGCUCGUGUUGUGAAAUGUUGGUAAGUCCCGNAACGAGCGCAACCCUUAUCCUUUGUUGCCAGCGGUUCGGCCGGGAACUCAAAGGAGACUGCCGGUGAUAAACCGGAGGAAGGUGGGGAUGACGUCAAGUCAUCAUGGCCCUUACGGCCAGGGCUACACACGUGCUACAAUGGCGCAUACAAAGAGAAGCGACCUCGCGAGAGCAAGCGGACCUCAUAAAGUGCGUCGUAGUCCGGAUUGGAGUCUGCAACUCGACUCCAUGAAGUCGGAAUCGCUAGUAAUCGUAGAUCAGAAUGCUACGGUGAAUACGUUCCCGGGCCUUGUACACACCGCCCGUCACACCAUGGGAGUGGGUUGCAAAAGAAGUAGGUAGCUUAACCUUCGGGAGGGCGCUUACCACUUUGUGAUUCAUGACUGGGGUGAAGUCGUAACAAGGUAAGCGUAGCGAG